rnacentral:antisense_RNA from 24 species
UGUUAUGGCGGCAUACGUAGGAGAACCGCAAGGUUCGCCGUUUCUUUCGUAGCGGCAAGGCUAAUCCUGCGUAUGCUGUCGCCCUC